GGACUCGUAGCUCAGCUGGUUAGAGCGCUGCAUUCACAUUGCAGAGGUCACUGGUUCGAAUCCAGUAUCGCCCA
rnacentral:tRNA from 1 species